CGGGAUGUAGCUCAGCUUGGUAGAGCAUCGCGUUUGGGACGCGAGGGCCAUCGGUUCGAAUCCGGUCAUCCCGA
rnacentral:tRNA from 1 species